rnacentral:rRNA from 1 species
AUUGAACGCUGGCGGCAUGCUUUACACAUGCAAGUCGAACGGUAACAGGCCGCAAGGUGCUGACGAGUGGCGAACGGGUGAGUAAUGCAUCGGAACGUGCCCAGGCGUGGGGGAUAACGCAGCGAAAGUUGCGCUAAUACCGCAUACGAUCUAUGGAUGAAAGCGGGGGACCGUAAGGCCUCGCGCGAUUGGAGCGGCCGAUGCCAGAUUAGGUAGUUGGUGGGGUAAAGGCUCACCAAGCCGACGAUCUGUAGCUGGUCUGAGAGGACGACCAGCCACACUGGGACUGAGACACGGCCCAGACUCCUACGGGAGGCAGCAGUGGGGAAUUUUGGACAAUGGGCGCAAGCCUGAUCCAGCAAUGCCGCGUGCAGGAAGAAGGCCUUCGGGUUGUAAACUGCUUUUGUACGGAACGAAACGGUCCUGGUUAAUACCCGGGGCUAAUGACGGUACCGUAAGAAUAAGCACCGGCUAACUACGUGCCAGCCGCCGCCGUAAGAC